rnacentral:rRNA from 1 species
GACGAACCGAGCGAACGUUGUUCGGAAUCACUGGGCUUAAAGGGCGCGUAGGCGGGUGCUCAAGUCCGGGGUGAAAUCCUCCAGCUCAACUGGAGAACUGCCUCGGAUACUGGGUGUCUCGAGUGUGGUAGGGGUAUGCGGAACUAUCGGUGGAGCGGUGAAAUGCGUUGAUAUCGGUUGGAACGCCAAAGGUGAAAACAGGUAGCUGGGGGUGUGCUGACACUGAGACACGAAAGCCAGGGGAGCAAACGGG